AUUAUUAUCUCAAGAGAUAUUACAAUGAAUAUAUCAUCGUGAGACAUUCUGUAUAUCUUUUUUUACAAUGAAUCCGUUUGGGGUUUUCGCCUGUGAAACUCAAAACCAUAGACGUAUUAUAAUAUAUUUAAAUGAUUAAUCGUGUACAUUGACUGACUGACGUAUAGGUUAAGUAAAACGGUAAUUCGGUUAAGAGAGUGUGUUUUUGAAAAAAAAACUUUGUCAAACACGAACAUGCUUGUCGAACUACGAAUACUAUACCCAACGACUCCGUCUAAAAACACGAAAAAGUUUUGGUGUCAAUAAGUUUUUCGACGACGGUAGCACGGAGUGUAAAAACUAUGUAUAAAGUUCCUGUAUGCGAUCUUAUGGGAUUGGCCAAUUUGUAAAUAAUACCUAUGGCUUAUACGCCGCAAUAUUUCGCGUCCAAAUAAUAUAUGCAUUAUACAUCUAUUAUAAUCAAUACACUAUUCCGGGGGGAUCAGAUGUGUAUGUUAAACUUUUUAGUUAUACUAAUAAGAUGCGUGUUUUUUUUUCUCUCUGUAGACGAAUUUUCGAUCAGAAAUCGUGCUCAAAUCAUCGGCUUUAGGGAUGGAAUUAUUCUGUCUAGUCUGAUGACUAGAUCGGCGCAGAAUU